rnacentral:rRNA from 1 species
GACGAACGCUGGCGGCGUGCUUAACACAUGCAAGUCGAGCGGAAAGGCCCUGCUUUUGUGGGGUGCUCGAGUGGCGAACGGGUGAGUAACACGUGAGUAACCUGCCCUUGACUUUGGGAUAACUUCAGGAAACUGGGGCUAAUACCGGAUAGGAGCUCCUGCUGCAUGGUGGGGGUUGGAAAGUUUCGGCGGUUGGGGAUGGACUCGCGGCUUAUCAGCUUGUUGGUGGGGUAGUGGCUUACCAAGGCUUUGACGGGUAGCCGGCCUGAGAGGGUGACCGGCCACAUUGGGACUGAGAUACGGCCCGGACUCCUACGGGAGGCAGCAGUGGGGAAUAUUGCACAAUGGGCGGAAGCCGGAUGCAGCAACGCCGCGUGCGGGAUGACGGCCUUCGGGUUGUAAACCGCUUGCGCCUGUGACGAAGCGUGAGUGACGGUAAUGGGUAAAGAAGCACCGGCUAACUACGUG